rnacentral:piRNA from 1 species
GCAGAAGAAAUGCUACUCCG